rnacentral:rRNA from 1 species
GGGGAGUGACGUCAAGUCAUCAUGGCCUUACAGCCUGGGCUACACACGUGCUACAAUGGUCGGUACAAAGGGUUGCCAAGCCGCGAGGUGGAGCUAAUCCCAUAAAACCGAUCGUAGUCCGGAUCGCAGUCUGCAACUCGACUGCGUGAAGUCGGAAUCGCUAGUAAUCGUGAAUCAGAAUGUCACGGUGAAUACGUUCCCGGGCCUU